GCCGGGUGCGGUGGCAUGUGCCUGGUAAUCCAAGUCACUGGGAGGCUGAGUUGGUGGAUCAAGUGAGCUGAGGAGCUCUGGGCUGCAGCACACUAUUUUGAACGGGUGUCCAUGCUAAGUUCGGUAUCGAUAUGGUGUUCCAGGGGGAGCCCGGACCACCAGGUUGUCUAAGGAGGGGUGAACCGGCCCAGGUCGGAAACGAAGCAGGUCAAAUCCCCCGUGCUGUCCAGUAGUUGGAUAAUACCUGUGAGUAGAUGCUGCAGUGCAGCCUUGACAAAACAUCGAGACCUAAUCUUUU
rnacentral:SRP_RNA from 1 species